AUUGAACGCUGGCGGCAGGCCUAACACAUGCAAGUCGAACGAGUGGCGGACGGGUGAGUAAUGUCUGGGAAACUGCCCGAUGGAGGGGGGUAACUACUGGAAACGGUAGCUAAUACCGCAUACCAUCGGAUGUGCCCAGAUGGGAUUAGCUAGUAGGUGGGGUAACGGCUCACCUAGGCGACGAUCCCUAGCUGGUCUGAGAGGAUGACCCGCCACGCUGGAACUGAUACACGGUCCGGACUCCUCCGGGAGGAAGCAGUGGUGAAUAUUGCACAAUGUGCGCAAGCCUGAUGCAGCCAUGCCGCGGGUAUGAAGAAUUCCUUCGGGUUGUAAAGUACUUUCAGCGAGGAGGCGUUACUCGCAGAAGAAGCACCGGCUAACGCCGUGCCAGCAGCCGCGGUAAUUC
rnacentral:rRNA from 1 species